UCCACUUCAAUCCAAGCCUAUAUGUAAAGGUCUAAAACUUAUUAAAAUAAAUUCAUAAAUUAAAUACGGAAGCGAUUAAUGGAGUUAUAGUUUACAUUCCUUACACCAUAAUUUAGAAUGCCCAGUAAGGUUAUAGGAAUAUCCCUUAUAAAAGAAAAAUGAAAAUUAAAAAAAUAAAAUGAAAAACAAAUAGCUAAGCAUCCUAGGACCACUUUCAGCAGCACUUAACGGGAGUCUGAACUACUCACAACCCUCUUAUUGAUCAGGAUCUGGAUCUUGGUCCUCUUUAUCUGAAAUAGUUAACGAAAGAGUGAGCU
rnacentral:lncRNA from 1 species